GCUCAUGUAGCUCUUUGGAUAGAGCAUUCCUAUGUACCGGGAAACUAACCGGUUCGAGUCCGGGCGUGGGCU
rnacentral:tRNA from 1 species